GAAAAUGUUCUUGAAUCAUGUAAAACUUCAAAUUUAUUCAAGAAUGUAUUAAAUUAUCCAGAAAGUAUAAGCUUGGAGUUAUCAUUAAAAAGUGCCUUGCACCAGAUAUUUUCAAUAAUUAGCUAUCGAGACCAUCCUCAGUUGUUCGGGCUGGAAUAUACAAG